rnacentral:rRNA from 1 species
UACGAAGGGUGCAAGCGUUACUCGGAAUUACUGGGCGUAAAGCGCGCGUAGGUGGUUUUUUAUGUCCGCUGUGAAAGCCCCGGGCUUAACCUGGGAAUGGCAGUGGAAACUGGCGGGCUUGAGUGUGGCAGAGGGGGGUGGAAUUCCGCGUGUAGCAGUGAAAUGCGUAGAGAUGCGGAGGAACACCGAUGGCGAAGGCAGCCCCCUGGGCUGACACUGACGCUGAGGCACGAAAGCGUGGGGAGCAAACAGG